rnacentral:rRNA from 1 species
AGUGAACGCUGGCGGUAGGCCUAACACAUGCAAGUCGAACGGCAGCACAGUAAGAGCUUGCUCUUACGGGUGGCGAGUGGCGGACGGGUGAGGAAUACAUCGGCAUCUACUUUUUCGUGGGGGAUAACGUAGGGAAACUUACGCUAAUACCGCAUACGACCUACGGGUGAAAGCAGGGGAUCUUCGGACCUUGCGCGAUUGAAUGAGCCGAUGUCGGAUUAGCUAGUUGGCGGGGUAAAGGCCCCCCAAGGCGACGAUCCGUAGCUGGUCUGAGAGGAUGAUCAGCCACACUGGAACUGAGACACGGUCCAGACUCCUACGGGAGGCAGCAGUGGGGAAUAUUGGACAAUGGGCGCAAGCCUGAUCCAGCCAUACCGCGUGGGUGAAGAAGGCCUUCGGGUUGUAAAGCCCUUUUGUUGGGAAAGAAAAGCAGCAGGUUAAUACCCCGCUGUUCUGACGGUACCCAAAGAAUAAGCACCGGCUAACUUCGUG